ACCUGGGGAAACCCAGGCUAAUACCGCAUACGUCCUACGGGAGAAAGGGGGCUCCGGCUCCCGCUAUGGGAUGAGCCUAUGUCGGAUUAGCUAGUUGGUGAGGUAAUGGCUCACCAAGGCAACGAUCCGUAGCUGGUCUGAGAGGAUGAUCAGCCACAUCGGGACUGAGACACNGCCCGAACUCCUACGGGAGGCAGCAGUGGGGAAUAUUGGACAAUGGGGGAAACCCUGAUCCAGCCAUGCCGCGUGUGUGAAGAAGGCCCUCGGGUUGUAAAGCACUUUCAGCGAGGAAGAACGCCUAGCGGUUAAUACCCGCUAGGAAAGACAUCACUCGCAGAAGAAGCACCGGCUAACUCCGUGCCAGCAGCCGCGGUAAUACGGAGGGUGCAAGCGUUAAUCGGAAUUACUGGGCGUAAAGCGCGCGUAGGUGGCUUGAUAAGCCGGUUGUGAAAGCCCCGGGCUCAACCUGGGAACGGCAUCCGGAACUGUCAAGCUAGAGUGCAGGAGAGGAAGGUAGAAUUCCCGGUGUAGCGGUGA
rnacentral:rRNA from 1 species